UCCUUUAAUUAUUUAAUUAUUUAUUUGUUUAUUUAUUUUAUUAUUUAUUUAUUAUUAUUAUUUAAUUAUUUAUUUAUCUUAUGUAUAUGAGUACACCGUAGGGCGUCGGAUCCCACUGCAGCAACCAUGUGGUUGCUGGGAAUUGAACUCAUGACCUCUGGAAGAGCACGCUGAGCCAUCUCUCCAGCCCUCAUGGAGAACUUUAAAGCAGUCAGUCUUAAGGCUCUUCUUGUGUUCUGGGUGAGUUUCUUGUUUAAAAAAAAAUACUGAAAACGGAAUGCAUACAAUCAAUUCAUAUUAGGACAUUUUCUCAUAUUUUUAUUUGCUUUGAUUUUUCAACUUUUUUUAAAAAUAGGUUUCUAGCACAGCAAUUGUGCUUCUGUUUUCAAUUUAUUUACUCUUAAAAACUGGUUUAGUCAUUUUUUCCCUGAGAAGUGGGUCAUGUGUUUGGAAUAAAAUUAUCAAUCCAUAACAAAGAUAUUUGGAAAAUACCAAAACAUUUAAGUAAAACGCUCUUUGGGAACUGAAAGGUCUGGUACAUUUUUUCUGGGUUCUAAAAUUGGCUCCCUGCAGAUGCCAGACGGUGUGGUGAUAAAAGCUUACUUGUAGGAUAACCGCCCGCAUCAAGUUGGAUGGAAGACUCCUGACCAAAAACUAAAGCCACCACAGUUGUCUGUGGAGGAACCCCCGCCUUUCUCCCACCUGUAAAAGGAGUCACUGUGGGUUCACAGAAUUAAAUUGUCGAUAGAGGGCGCCAGAGGACGGGGAAGAAACUACGGACAACGGCGUUGGCAUAUUUCUUUGGUUUAAAUUACAAUUUAAAAAAAGAAAAAGAAAAAGAAAUGAAAGAGAAAAAAAUUGAAAAGUCACUUUUUCAUUGUGUAAAGGGGAUAUCAGUAUUUCCUUCCCGCGUGUAAUUUCUGUCUCUCCAGGCCCGAGUCUCGCAGAGCGAAUCCAGUGUGUGGUGCGCAGGUGGUCUGUGAAGACUGGGGAACCUUUUUAUUUCUUCCUCUUUACCAGGGGCCACGACCUAUGUUUCUUUCCCCAGUCAGAGCGUCAGAACUCUGCCCAGAAAUCUCGCUUCCUCUUGCAUUUUUAUUAUUAGCAGCUUAAGCCUCCUUACUGGGAAAGAAAUUGACAGAGCAAACACUAGAGCUCUUGCCUCCGGGCCCGAGCAUUGUCAGUUUCUGGGAAAACUAGCUAGUGACAUAGAGCAGCAGAUGUGUAGCCUGCAGCGUGAGACAGUAACCCAACGUCCAUACAGUUAUACAGCAAAAAGUCACCUCGACAAAGCAUCGUUGAAGCUGAGAUCUGGAAACCACUAGGCACUAACCGGGUGAAGUAAGAGGGGUUAAAGAAGAGUCCAGGCACCGCACAGGCCUAGCGCUGGGGCCUGGGAAAUGACCCAGGGAAGGAGGCUGAGCCGGAAGCACUGUGUUAUCAACUCAAGGUUACCGUGGGGGAGUUUGGUCUUGGUUGCCUGUGUGAUGUGAAGCCCUUGAUAAGUGGAUGAUGGGAUUAGAUUUAUGUCCCCAAUUUUCAUAGUUGGGGAGCAGUUUAGAAUAUUCUCAUUAGCUGUAUGCUGUGGAAGAGACAUCAAACAUUUAUGACAUUAGACUCCGACGUCUUGGGUGACUGUAGUCCUCGAUGUUGGCUUUUAAUGGCGUCUCCAGCCUUCUAUGUCAUUGUGUGAACAUUCCAAGGAGAGCAGGCCAUAGCCAGCGUCAUUACAUACGAGUACAAUUGCAUAGAAAGAUUCUGGGAUGUAGCCAGGCCACUAAUGUCCGAGGAAUGACACGGUAAGAGGCUACAAUCUGAACUCCAGAUGUUGCUGUGUUAUUUAAAAUGUUUAAGGCACAGCUUAAUUGGUCUUCUAAUUAGCAAAACUCGUAAAAUCACUAUCAUUUCCAAUUUAAAAAAAAAC
ensembl:lincRNA Gm43522 predicted gene 43522